AUGAACGCUGGCGGCGUGCCUAAUACCUGCAAGUCGAGCGAACGGACGAGAAGCUUGCUUCUCUGAUGUUAGCGGCGGACGGGUGAGUAACACGUGGAUAACCUACCUAUAAGACUGGGAUAACUUCGGGAAACCGGAGCUAAUACCGGAUAAUAUUUUGAACCGCAUGGUUCAAAAGUGAAAGACGGUCUUGCUGUCACUUAUAGAUGGAUCCGCGCUGCAUUAGCUAGUUGGUAAGGUAACGGCUUACCAAGGCAACGAUGCAUAGCCGACCUGAGAGGGUGAUAGGCCACACUGGAACUGAGACACGGUCCAGACUCCUACGGGAGGCAGCAGUAGGGAAUCUUCCGCAAUGGGCGAAAGCCUGACGGAGCAACGCCGCGUGAGUGAUGAAGGUCUUCGGAUCGUAAAACUCUGUUAUUAGGGAAGAACAUAUGUGUAAGUAACUGUGCACAUCUUGACGGUACCUAAUCAGAAAGCCACGGCUAACUACGUG
rnacentral:rRNA from 1 species